GUCUACGGCCAUACCACCCUGAACGCGCCCGAUCUCGUCUGAUCUCGGAAGCUAAGCAGGGUCGGGCCUGGUUAGUACUUGGAUGGGAAAAGGACUAUGAGUCAAUAAAAC
rnacentral:rRNA from 1 species